UACGUAGGGUCCGAGCGUUGUCCGGAAUUAUUGGGCGUAAAGGGCUCGUAGGCGGUCUGUUGCGUCGGGAGUGAAAACUUACAGCUUAACUGUGAGCGUGCUUCCGAUACGGGCAGACUUGAGGCAUUCAGGGGAGAACGGAAUUCCUGGUGUAGCGGUGAAAUGCGCAGAUAUCUGGAGGAACACCGGUGGCGAAGGCGGCAUCCUGGACCAAAACUGACGCUGAAUAGCGAAAGCCAGGGGAGCAAACGGG
rnacentral:rRNA from 1 species